rnacentral:rRNA from 1 species
UCUGGUUAAUUCCGAUAACGAACGAGAUCUUAACCUGCUAAUUAGCGGCAAAUACGAUAUAUUCUUACGUGGGACUGAAUUCGGUUGAUUUGCUUACUUCGAAGAAAAUAUUGGGAUACGUAACAGUUUCCCUUUCCCUUUUCUACUUAGUUCGCUUUUCAUACUGUUUCUUUUUCGCGUAAGAAUGUAUUUGCUUGAUUGUAAAGCUUCUUAGAGGAACGAUGUGUGUCUAACACAAGGAAGUUUAAGGCAACAACAGGUCUGUGAUGUCCUUAGAUGAACUAGGCUGCACGCGUGCUACACUGAUAUGUAUAACGAGUUAUUAAAAUUACGAUUCAGCUUGCUGUUUCGCAUUUUUCCUCCACUGAAAAGUGUAGGUAAUCUUUAUCAGUACAUAU